AGCGGGCGGCGGGAAUCGAACCCGCAUCAUCAGCUUGGAAGGCUGAGGUUUUACCACUAAACUACGCCCGC
rnacentral:tRNA from 1 species